rnacentral:rRNA from 1 species
UGAAACAGUUCCUGAAACCGUGUGCCUACAAGUAGUUAGAGCCCGUUAAUGGGUGAUAGCGUGCCUUUUGUAGAAUGAACCGGCGAGUUACGAUUUGUUGCAAGGUUAAGCGGAAAAAGCGGAGCCGUAGCGAAAGCGAGUCUGAAUAGGGCGCAUAAGUAACAGGUCGUAGACCCGAAACCAGGUGAUCUACCCAUGUCCAGGAUGAAGGUAAGGUAAUACUUACUGGAGGUCCGAACCCACGCACGUUGAAAAGUGCGGGGAUGAGGUGUGGGUAGCGGAGAAAUUCCAAUCGAACUUGGAGAUAGCUGGUUCUCUCCGAAAUAGCUUUAGGGCUAGCCUCGAGGUAAAGAGUCAUGGAGGUAGAGCACUGUUUGGACUAGGGGCCCUUCUCGGGUUACCGAAUUCAGAUAAAC